rnacentral:tRNA from 1 species
GGAGAGGUGCCAGAGCGGCCGAAUGGGACUCACUGCUAAUGAGUUGACCCGCGAAAGUGGGUCCGAGGGUUCAAAUCCCUCCCUCUCCGCCA